rnacentral:rRNA from 1 species
AGUCGAGGGGUAUUUAUCUUCGGAUAGAGAGACCGGCGCACGGGUGCGUAACGCGUAUGCAAUCUACCUUUUACAGAGGGAUAGCCCAGAGAAAUUUGGAUUAAUACCUCAUAGUAUGUGAGAAUGGCAUCAUUUUCACAUUAAAGUCACAACGGUAAAAGAUGAGCAUGCGUCCCAUUAGCUAGUUGGUAAGGUAACGGCUUACCAAGGCUACGAUGGGUAGGGGUCCUGAGAGGGAGAUCCCCCACACUGGUACUGAGACACGGACCAGACUCCUACGGGAGGCAGCAGUGAGGAAUAUUGGACAAUGGGCGCAAGCCUGAUCCAGCCAUGCCGCGUGCAGGAUGACGGUCCUAUGGAUUGUAAACUGCUUUUGCACAGGAAGAAACAACGCUACGUGUAGCGUCUUGACGGUACUGUGAGAAUAAGGAUCGGCUAACUCCGUGCCAGCAGCCGCGGUAAUACGGAGGAUCCAAGCGUUAUCCGGAAUCAUUGGGUUUAAAGGGUCCGUAGGCGGUUUAGUAAGUCAGUGGUGAAAGCCCAUCGCUCAACGGUGGAACGGCCAUUGAUACUGCUAGACUUGAAUUAUUAGGAAGUAACUAGAAUAUGUAGUGUAGCGGUGAAAUGCUUAGAGAUUACAUGGAAUACCAAUUGCGAAGGCAGGUUACUACUAAUGGAUUGACGCUGAUGGACGAAGGCGUGGGUAGCGAACAGGAUUAGAUACCCUGGUAGUCCACGCCGUAAACGAUGGAUACUAGCUGUUGGGAGCGAUCUCAGUGGCUAAGCGAAAGUGAUAAGUAUCCCACCUGGGGAGUACGUU